CCUGGGCACAAACCCAACAUGCUUGAGCACAGUGCAACUCUCUGAAGACCAAUUUCCUUAUCAGUAGAUGGCUGACAAUUAUGCUUACCAGUGAGUUAAAACUUGCCCAUCUUUAAAGCUCUACUCAGUGGCUCUCGCCUCCUGAAGCAUCCAAAAUAACCUCUUCAUCAGAAGUCCCAUAGCACACUGAGCCACUCCCAUCAGAAGACCCACGGCACGCUGAACCUCUCUUUAUACUUCUUCACCCCACUUUGGCAAGACAAUGGUCCCAGGGACUCUGAGUUCCCUAGCCCAACAGCCUCGCUCUGCAAGUGCUGCGCCCCCUGCCGCAGGACCGACGAGCUCCAGGGGACCCCACAGUGGAGGAGUCGGGAGGUCUCUGCUUUGAAGAGAAAACAGGCUUUCUAUUAGAAGUCACUGGAAAGAAGUUACCUCUGCCUCCAGGAAGACCAGGGUUUUAGCAGGAGUCCACUUCGUGCUGCCGAAGUGCGCAUGGGCAUAAGACCAUCCACUGGCACAUGGGCAAUCUACCAGCAGCCACACCCUUUGAGAAAAAUGACUCUCCCUUUACCAGCAGCCAUCAGUUGCCAAUAGCUCCCCAGCUAGGGGAGGGGUCCAGUGAGUCCUUCUCCCAUCCACGCGGGAAGGCUGACUGGCUUCAAGUUUGCAGACCUUGUGCAGGUAACCACAGCUGCUGUGAGCUCAUGAGCGUAACAUCCACGCCAUAUCCAGAAACAGAAUUUCUCACUCUUCCCCAUACUCCAGCCCUUAUAUUAUCCUGCCUCCUCUUCUCCAGUGUUCCCUGAACCCUCGAUAAGGAGCGGUUAGCAUAGAUAGACCUUUAGUGAACGCUCAGUGUUAUUUAUUCUCAGCACAAGUUAUGAGUCUCUGCAUUAAUCACUGCCCACUGCAAAACGAACCUUCUCUGACCAAAGUUGAGAGCAGCAUUAAUCAAUCUAUAAACACAAAUGUUUGGAAGGCCGUUUGACAACAUUUCCAACAAAACAGCAGUAGUAGAUUACCCAACAGGACCUCUGACCCCCCUCACCAUGGGCUUUUGACCAGGUUUAAAGUAUCAGGCAUGAAUUCCCUCUUGUGAAGUAGACCACAGAUCCAAUUGCAAAGCAGCUGAUUCCCCCUUAACAAUGAUGCCAUUAUUUCACCAAUAGGUUUAUCUUGCCUGGCAGGUCUGUAAAGCACGUAGGAACCACUGCUUGUAAGACAGCUAAUAUCUUUUCUCCCCAGCAGCUGAUACAGCACCUUCCAGCCAGGAGGAAGUUUCCAGGUCAGUUUUAGCUUGAUUUCUCUAUGACCUACUUAAACACCUAACCUUCGGUGCCGCUCCUCACUACUUUCAUAUCUACCAUCCUCUCCUCCAUUAAGGCCUCCUCUUCCUCUCUCCUUUCUCAGGGGCUCUUCUGGCUUCCUGGCCUCUCCCGGACACCCCAAUCUUAAGCUAUGUGCCUGUGAUAGCUAAUCUUGAUCUCCAAGUUGACACACUUGGGAAGAGGGAACUUCCUCCAUCAGAUUUGCCCAUGGGCAUGUCUGCAGGAGCAUUUCUCGACUGCUAACUGAUGUAGGAGUGCCCCGGUCACACAGCAGGGCCACCUGUGAGCCCGUGGUCCUGGGUUGUAGAAGAAGGCUGCCUGAGCAGCAGCAGGAGGAUCGAACAGUGUUCCUCUGCGCUCUCUGCCUCAUUCCCUGUCUCUGUGUUCAGGCUACGGUCCUGCCCUGGUGCUUCCCUCCACGAGAGACUGUAACCUGUCAGCCAGAUGGACCCUUUCCUCUCCCAUGUUACUGUUGGUCAUGGUGUUUACCACAGCAACAUAGUGGCAUCUGUUGGGCGGAUGGGGCUUGAGUUGUCUCUCUAUAUUUUCCAUUUCUAUUCAUUUUCCUGCAAAUUUCAUUUUUCUUUGUACCAAUCCAAUUGUAUGUAUGUACCACAUUUUCAUUUUCCAUUCAUCAGUCAAUAGACAUCUAGGCUGAUUUCUAUGGUGAUACUGUGUAACCCAAUAUAUUGUGCACCUUAAUAAACUUAUCUGGGGUCAGAGAACAGAACAGCCAGCUAGAUAGACACAGAGGCCA